rnacentral:rRNA from 1 species
AUUGAACGCUGGCGGCAUGCUUUACACAUGCAAGUCGAACGGUAACAGGCCGCAAGGUGCUGACGAGUGGCGAACGGGUGAGUAAUGCAUCGGAACGUGCCCAGUCGUGGGGGAUAACGCAGCGAAAGCUGUGCUAAUACCGCAUACGAUCUGUGGAUGAACGCGGGGGACCUUCGGGCCUCGCGCGAUUGGAGCGGCCGAUGUCAGAUUAGGUAGUUGGUGGGGUAAAGGCUCACCAAGCCGACGAUCUGUAGUUGGUCUGAGAGGACGACCAGCCACACUGGGACUGAGACACGGCCCAGACUCCUACGGGAGGCAGCAGUGGGGAAUUUUGGACAAUGGGCGCAAGCCUGAUCCAGCAAUGCCGCGUGCAGGAAGAAGGCCUUCGGGUUGUAAACUGCUUUUGUACGGAGCGAAAAGGCUCCCUCUAAUACAGGGGGCUCAUGACGGUACCGUAAGAAUAAGCACCGGCUAACUACGUGCCAGCCGCCGCCGUAAGAC